CCAGACCUAAAAUCAAUCUUCGAAAACAUUUUGGCACCUUGAAGCUGAAAAAUAAGUUAUUAUUCCUUAAUAAUAGAUACUUGUUCUUGAUGGCAACUUUGUUGAACUGCCGAUAAUCUAUGCACAUCCUCAUCGAACUAUCCUUCUUCUUCACGAAUAACACAUGCGCAUCCCAGGGCGAAUCACUAGGUCUCAUCAAGCCCUUAUCAAGCUAAUCUUAAAACUUCUCCUUCAAUUCUUUCAGCUCUGGUGGGCCAUGCGAUAUGGCAUAAUAGAAAUAGGUUGAUUGCCUGGAGACAAAUCAAUAGAGAAUUUAAUAUCUCUAUUGAGCGGCAUUCCUAGCAUAUCUGCAGGAAACACCUCUGCAAACUCACGAACAACUAGUACUGAACCCAUGGAAUGAAUCUCCGCACUAGAAUCACAGACAUAAGCCAAAUAAGCUAGACACCUAUUAUCAACCAUAUGCUGAGCCUUCACAUAAGAGAUAACCCUGCUAGUAGAAUGGCCAAGAGUGCCUCUCCAUUUUAAUUAAUGAAACUCCGGAAAAGGCUAAGGUCACUGUCUUGGCGUGACAAUCCAAUAUAGCAUGAUAACGUGACAACCAAUCCAUACCCAAAAUGACAUCAAAAUCAAC
rnacentral:lncRNA from 1 species